rnacentral:rRNA from 1 species
GCGAGCGCAGGCGGUUCCUUAAGUCUGAUGUGAAAGCCCCCGGCUCAACCGGGGAGGGUCAUUGGAAACUGGGGAACUUGAGUGCAGAAGAGGAGAGUGGAAUUCCAUGUGUAGCGGUGAAAUGCGUAGAUAUAUGGAGGAACACCAGUGGCGAAGGCGACUCUCUGGUCUGUAACUGACGCUGAGGCUCGAAAGCGUGGGUAGCAAACAGGAUUAGAUACCCUGGUAGUCCACGCCGUAAACGAUGAGUGCUAAGUGUUGGAGGGUUUCCGCCCUUCAGUGCUGCAGUUAACGCAUUAAGCACUCCGCCUGGGGAGUACGACCGCAAGGUUGAAACUCAAAGGAAUUGACGGGGACCCGCACAAGCGGUGGAGCAUGUGGUUUAAUUCGACGCAACGCGAAGAACCUUACCAGGUCUUGACAUUGAUGGGCAGAACUAGAGAUAGUUCCUCUUCUUCGGAAGCCAGAAAACAGGUGGUGCACGGUUGUCGUCAGCUCGUGUCGUGAG